rnacentral:rRNA from 1 species
CCCUUAGAUGUUCGGGGCCGCACGCGCGCUACACUGAAGGAGUCAGAGGGCCUAGUACCUGUCGGACACGGCCGGUUAACCCGUGCAGAAACUCCUUCGUGCUUGGGACUGGGGCUUGAAAUUCUUGCCCAUGAACGAGGAAUUCCCAGUAAGCGCGAGUCAUCAGCUCGUGUUGAUUACGUCCCUGCCCUUUGUACACACCGCCCGUCGCUACUACCGAUGAACGGUUCAGUGAGGCCCUCGGAAGUCCCCCGGGCUGGUGGGUUCCCUGCCAGCUGUCUGGUUGCGGACCGAAGACGGUCGAACUCAAUCAUUUAGAGGAAGUAAAAGUCGUAACA